UGGGGAAUAUUGCACAAUGGGCGCAAGCCUGAUGCAGCCAUGCCGCGUGUGUGAAGAAGGCCUUCGGGUUGUAAAGCACUUUCAGCGGGGAGGAAGGCGUUAAGGUUAAUAACCUUGGCUAUUGACGUUACCCGCAGAAGAAGCACCGGCUAACUCCGUGCCAGCAGCCGCGGUAAUACGGAGGGUGCAAGCGUUAAUCGGAAUUACUGGGCGUAAAGCGCACGCAGGCGGUCUGUCAAGUCGGAUGUGAAAUCCCCGGGCUCAACCUGGGAACUGCAUUCGAAACUGGCAGGCUAGAGUCUUGUAGAGGGGGGUAGAAUUCCAGGUGUAGCGGUGAAAUGCGUAGAGAUGUGGAGGAAUACCGGUGGCGAAGGCGGCCCCCUGGACAAAGACUGACGGUCAGGUGCGAAAGCGUGGGGAGCAAACAGG
rnacentral:rRNA from 1 species